AGAGUUUGAUCAUGGCUCAGAACGAACGCUGGCGGCGUGCCUAACACAUGCAAGUCGAACGUGAAAGUCCUUCGGGGCGAGUAAAGUGGCGCACGGGUGAGUAACGCGUAGAUAAUCUACCCGAUGAUCUGGGGAUAACAUUCCGAAAGGAGUGCUAAUACCGGAUAAGCCCACGAGAUCUUAGGAUCUUGCGGGAAAAGGGGGGGACCUUUUAGGCCUUCUGUCAUCGGAUGAGUCUGCGUACCAUUAGCUAGUUGGUGGGGUAAGAGCCCACCAAGGCGACGAUGGUUAGCUGGUCUGAGAGGAUGAUCAGCCACACUGGAACUGAGACACGGUCCAGACUCCUACGGGAGGCAGCAGUGGGGAAUUUUGCGCAAUGGGGGAAACCCUGACGCAGCAACGCCGCGUGAGUGAUGAAGGCCUUCGGGUCGUAAAGCUCUGUCAGUGGGAAAGAAAUGUAUUAUGGCUAAUAUCCAUGAUACUUGACGGUACCCACAAAGGAAGCACCGGCUAACUCCGUGCCAGCAGCCGCGGUAAUACGGAGGGUGCGAGCGUUGUUCGGAAUUAUUGGGCGUAAAGCGCGUGUAGGCGGUCUUUUAAGUCUGAUGUGAAAGCCCCGGGCUCAACCUGGGAAGUGCAUUGGAUACUGGGAGACUUGAAUACGGGAGAGGGCAGUGGAAUUCCUAGUGUAGGAGUGAAAUCCGUAGAUAUUAGGAGGAACACCGGUGGCGAAGGCGGCUGCCUGGACCGAUAUUGACGCUGAGACGCGAAAGCGUGGGGAGCAAACAGGAUUAGAUACCCUAGUAGUCC
rnacentral:rRNA from 1 species